UCCAGACUCCUACGGGAGGCAGCAGUGAGGAAUAUUGGUCAAUGGGCGCGAGCCUGAACCAGCCAAGUCGCGUGAGGGAAGACGGUCCUAUGGAUUGUAAACCUCUUUUGUCAGGGAGCAAAGGGCGCCACGUGUGGCGCUUUGCGAGUACCUGAAGAAAAAGCAUCGGCUAACUCCGUGCCAGCAGCCGCGGUAAUACGGAGGAUGCGAGCGUUAUCCGGAUUUAUUGGGUUUAAAGGGUGCGCAGGCGGAAUGUCAAGUCAGCGGUAAAAUUUCGGGGCUCAACCCCGUACUGCCGUUGAAACUGCAUCCCUUGAGUGCGCGAGAAGUAUGCGGAAUGCGUGGUGUAGCGGUGAAAUGCAUAGAUAUCACGCAGAACUCCGAUUGCGAAGGCAGCAUACCGGCGCGCAACUGACGCUCAUGCACGAAAGUGUGGGUAUCGAACAGGAUUAGAUACCCCGGUACA
rnacentral:rRNA from 1 species